AUUGAACGCUGGCGGCAGGCUUAACACAUGCAAGUCGAGCGGGGUGAUGGUGCUUGCACUAUCACUUAGCGGCGGACGGGUGAGUAAUGCUUAGGAAUCUGCCUAUUAGUGGGGGACAACAUCUCGGAUGGGAUGCUAAUACCGCAUACGUCCUACGGGAGAAAGCAGGGGAUCACUUGUGACCUUGCGCUAAUAGAUGAGCCUAAGUCGGAUUAGCUAGUUGGUGGGGUAAAGGCCUACCAAGGCGACGAUCUGUAGCGGGUCUGAGAGGAUGAUCCGCCACACUGGGACUGAGACACGGCCCAGACUCCUACGGGAGGCAGCAGUGGGGAAUAUUGGACAAUGGGGGGAACCCUGAUCCAGCCAUGCCGCGUGUGUGAAGAAGGCCUUAUGGUUGUAAAGCACUUUAAGCGAGGAGGAGGCUCUUUUGGUUAAUACCCAAGAUGAGUGGACGUUACUCGCAGAAUAAGCACCGGCUAACUCUGUGCCAGCAGCCGCCGUAA
rnacentral:rRNA from 1 species